AAUAGAUACCCUGGUAGUCCACGCCCUAAACGAUGUCGACUAGGUGUUGGGGAAGGAGACUUCCUUAGUACCGCAGCUAACGCGUGAAGUCGACCGCCUGGGGAGUACGGUCGCAAGAUUAAAACUCAAAGGAAUUGACGGGGACCCGCACAAGCGGUGGAUGAUGUGGAUUAAUUCGAUGCAACGCGAAAAACCUUACCUACCCUUGACAUGGUCGGAAGCCCGAUGAGAGUUGGGUGUGCCCGAAAGGGAGCCGACACACAGGUGCUGCAUGGCUGUCGUCAGCUCGUGUCGUGAGAUGUUGGGUUAAGUCCCGCAACGAGCGCAACCCUUGCCAUUAGUUGCCACAUUCAGUUGGGCACUCUAAUGGGACUGCCGGUGACAAACCGGAGGAAGGUGGGGAUGACGUCAAGUCCUCAUGGCCCUUAUGGGUAGGGCCUCACACGUCAUACAAUGGCGCAUACAGAGGGUUGCCAACCCGCGAGGGGGAGCCAAUCCCAGAAAGUGCGUCGUAGUCCGGAUCGGAGU
rnacentral:rRNA from 1 species